rnacentral:ncRNA from 1 species
CACAAAGGCUUGGUCCCGGCCUUAAAGUCAAUUUUUACCCAACUUACACAUGCAAGUAUCCGCACCCCAGUGAAAACGCCCUUAUCCCUGAUAAGGAGCUGUCAUCAGGCACAAUAGUUUGCCCAAGACGUCUAGCCCCGCCACACCCACAAGGGUCUUCAGCAGUGAUUAAUAUUAAGCAUUAACGAAAGUUAGACUUAGUUAGGGUAUCCAGAGCCGGCCAAUGUGGUGCCAGCUGCCGCGGUUACACCAUGGACUCAAAUUGACCCCCGUCGGCGUAAAACGUGACUAAAGGAACCCCACACUAUGAUCAAACGGAAACUAAGCUGUGAAAACCUUGUUUCAAGUAAGCCCAAAGACGAAAGUUAUCCUAGUUACCCUCGACUCACGACAGUUGGGAGACAAACUGGGAUUAGAUACCCCACUAUGCCCAACCGUAAACUAUUAUUUACAUCAAACCCGCCAGAGAACUACGAGCUAAGCUUAAAACUCAAAGGACUUGUCGGUACCCCACCCCCUCUAGAGGAGCCUGUCCUAGAAUCGAUACUCCCCGCUAAACCUCACCCCUUCUAGCCUAUCAGCCUGUAUACUUCCGUCGCUAGCCCACCACGUGAGCGAAAUUCAGUCGGUCCCCCGCCUAUACGCAUUAACGUCAGGUCAAAGUGCAGCAAAUGAAGGGGGAAGAGAUGGGCUACAUUCUCUAGCUUAGAGCACACGGAAAGCCAUUAUGAAACCUGGCUGGAAGGCGGAUUUAGAAGUAAAGCGGGAAUAGAGUGCCCUCUUUAACUCGGAACUGGGAUGCGAACACACCGCCCGUCGCCCUCUUCAAAGCCAAAACACAAGUAAUUAACACAUUAAAUGCCACAAAGAGGAGGUAAGUCGUAACAUGGUAAGUGUACCGGAAGGUGCACUUGGAUA